rnacentral:rRNA from 1 species
CCUACGGGAGGCAGCAGUGAGGAAUAUUGGUCAAUGGACGCAAGUCUGAACCAGCCAUGCCGCGUGCAGGAAGACGGCUCUAUGAGUUGUAAACUGCUUUUGUACGAGGGUAAACGCUAAUACGCGUAUCUUUCUGAAAUUAUCUUACGAAUAAGGAUCGGCUAACUCCGUGCCAUCAGCCGCGGUAAUAUGGAGGAUUCAAGCGUUACCCGGAUUUAUUGGGUUUAAAGUGUGCGUAGGCGGUCGGAUAAGUUAGAUGUGAAAUCCCGAGGCUUAACUUCGGAAUUGCCUCUGAUACUGUUCGGCUAGAGAGUAGUAGCGGUAGGCGGAAUGUAUGGUGUAGCGGUGAAAUGCUUAGAGAUCAGAAAGAACACCGAUUGCGAAGGCAGUUUAC